rnacentral:rRNA from 1 species
GACGAACGCUGGCGGCGUGCUUAACACAUGCAAGUCGAACGGCAAGGCCCUGCUUUUGUGGGGUGCUCGAGUGGCGAACGGGUGAGUAACACGUGAGUAACCUGCCCUUGACUUUGGGAUAACUUCAGGAAACUGGGGCUACUACCGGAUAGGAGCUCCUGCUGCAUGGUGGGGGUUGGAAAGUUUCGGCGGUUGGGGAUGGACUCGCGGCUUAUCAGCUUGUUGGUGGGGUAGUGGCUUACCAAGGCUUUGACGGGUAGCCGGCCUGAGAGGGUGACCGGCCACAUUGGGACUGAGAUACGGCCCAGACUCCUACGGGAGGCAGCAGUGGGGAAUAUUGCACAAUGGGCGGAAGCCUGAUGCAGCAACGCCGCGUGCGGGAUGACGGCCUUCGGGUUGUAAACCGCUUUCGCCUGUGACGAAGCGUGAGUGACGGUAAUGGGUAAAGAAGCACCGGCUAACUACGU